rnacentral:rRNA from 1 species
UACAGAGGUCUCAAGCGUUGUUCGGAUUCAUUGGGCGUAAAGGGUGCGUAGGCGGCGCGGUAAGUCGGGUGUGAAAUUUCGAGGCUUAACUUCGAAACUGCAUUCGAUACUGCCGUGCUAGAGGACUGGAGAGGAGACUGGAAUUUACGGUGUAGCGGUGAAAUGCGGUAGAUAUCGUAAGGAAGACCAGUGGCGAAGGCGGGUCUCUGGACAGUUCCUG